UGACAGAGUUAGCUCUAUCUGUCUGAAACAGCCGACAUGCCCAGCAGCUAUUCCAGAUGGCACCCAAACUUCUGAGAGAUAAUUCUACUAUGGCACAGUAAGUCAUAACACAACACUCUUUGAAAAAGGUUAACUGAGUUGAAUAUAAGGUUGUUUGACAGAAACAUACAAAAUUACUCACAGGAUAUGAGACGUUUUUACAUUGAAGUUUGCAGCUGAGUGAUGGCGGACGCAUGACAACUCCAUGUAAAUAAUCAUUAUACUGUCUACAACUGUAGUGGAAUGGAGCAAUUUGCACGGAGCCCACUUCAUUCAAUGGAAGUAUGCCCUAUUUUCCUACAGAAGCUACAGCAACUCUUAAGAAUUGGUUUCUGCUCUAUAUCAACUGCGCACAAAAUCAUACAAGUUGCUGAGGAUUUAAAAGCAUUCUAACUGAACUGAGAUUGCAAGGUGUGUGGUGAGUUGGAAAAAACAAUCUGCCUGUAGAAAUAGGCCUAACGCCAUUCCACCCCAUUUCUGUCAACUUCUGAUUUCAGUAAAAAUUCUUGACAGACUAAGCUUCCUAUGAAGUAGUUGAUGAGUGGCCAACUGGAAUGAGAUUUGACCAAGUGCUGCAGAUAGUUUAAUGGAUCAUAUUCAAGCUUCAGGAGGAAACAGAGGAGGCCAAUCAGGCCACAUUGAACAUGACAUGCUCUGCUGUGGCAGCGGACCAAAACCAUUACUGCGUAUUCAUCUAACACUCUCCAGUCUACAUUGCCAGAUGGGAGGCAGAUGAUCGUCAGUGACGAAGCCCAGCUCAGAGUCUUUCUGGGGCAGACUGAACAGCAGCAGGUGGCUCCUCAACACCUAAUCCGGACAGGACAGAUGUUAGGAAAGACCAUCAGGGGAGAGGGGAGGAGUGGCAGGAGGAUAAGAAGGCCCAGGGGAAGGUGAGAGGAGUGAAGAGCUGGAAGACCCAGGGGAAGGAGAUGUUACCCCCAGGGAGCGCAGCAGGCCCACAUGCUCCACAAACACAGCCAACUCCAUGGUGGCAUUGAAGCAUCUCUGCUGAAGUCGUCAAACAGGGGGUCCCCGACUGACACCGACUCAAACUGUCCAACCAGGGCAGAAUAGAGGUAAUUGAAGGAGGCCAGGAAGUUGAGCCAGGAAGUUCAGCCCAGGUGAUGGUCCUCCUCUGGAAGAGAGGACAGAAGGCUCCAUGUGGGCCAGGUGAGGUAGCAGCCCCGGACAGAGGGCAGCUGGACACAGGCUUCCCUUAGCAAAGGACCCAGUUCGGACAAGGGUCUGGGGGGAGGGGAGGAGCUAUACAGCACUGAGUCCACAUAAAAUAGUGCCUUUAUAAGAAGACUAAGGCUGGUUGGCAGUGGCACCAGAGGAAUUCCAGCUAUAGAGCAGUGAUCUAACUGAAAGUGAAAAGGUCAGGAGUUCGAUUCCCCCCCCCCCGGACGAUCAAGAUAGGUCAAGAUAUUAGGUCAAGAUAUUAUCCCUAGAGUUGGGUUACUAGGAUCUAUUUCUUUAAAUAAUGGAUGACAGUUUAGCUAAUCAGGUAAAACAAAUAGAAGGCCAGAGUUAGGGACCAGAACAGAUAGACAUAGAAGUUGGAGAUAUACUAGCAGAACACAUGAGAAGACUGUUUGUUAACCAAACCUGUAUGUCCAAGAUUUUGUGCCCAACAGGUGAAUUACAGGAGAAGGUGAUUCACUCAAUCCAACCAGGAGACGGGGGGUGAAUCCAGUCCCAGAGGAGAAUAGACUGGAAGCAGCCCCGUUGGGAAGGCCCAUACCAGGUUCUGUUAAACCACCGCCUUUGCCAUUAGAAUAGCUGAGAGAGUCACUUGGGUCCGCAUUACCCACUGCAAAAGGGUAUGUACACAUAUAAGCACUGCUGAUCACACACAGAGUUAGGAGAAGAACCGAGUACCAACAGGGUCCGGGGAUUACCUCCUUACACAAAGAAUUCCUAUUCCGACCGUUCAUCACUGUGGGUGAUCCUAGAAGUGUGAGUAUGGGGUGGUACCUAGCAGACCGACUAAGGGCAGGAGAGGGUUGGCGGUUUUUGGGAAGAGUAGGGGCUCUGAGCUGCAUCAUAGUGUUGGUAACCUUUCUGAUACAUCCAGAUCCACCACCUUCCGGUACUAAUUAUAUGAUGCCAUUGUCUUUGAUAAGAAGUAAAAGAUCAACUAUAUAAUACACUGACCAUCAAGGACGAGUGACUUACAGAAUAAGGAGUCAAAGAAGAUCAAGAUGUAGGAUUUAAGGUAAACAUUAAACAAUUCCCUAGGAAAGCAGAUAACUUUACAGGGAUUGGGUUGGCCAGAUUGAAGUACUCGGCCAACCCACCUCGGUUCAGGUUAACUCCUGAUGAGUACCAGUGUUAUAGAUACAAUAAUGGCACUGAGAACUUAGAUGAUUUUAAUGGCUGAAAGGUAAUCGUUAAUGUGACUGACUUAGGUUUGGAAGUACAGGAGAAAAUUCUUAACCUAACAGCACCUAUAACUGAUGUAGGGUGGGCUCGUACCAGCAAAGGAACGCAUACGACAGAAACUACCAGAAAGGGUGGUCAGGAACUUGCGCCCCGGGGUUAUUGGUCCAACCAGUUUGAGUUAGUCAUCAGAGGCCAGUUAUAGGAGGCUAAAGUAGGCAUAGGAGGAGUUUUGACCAGGAUGGGAGUCUAGAUGGAUGCUAUUGGCAUCCUCAGGGAAGUUACCGAUUAAUACAAAGCUAUGAAUCAAAUAGGUGAAGACUUUACCACUACGUUCUUUUGGUGGUUGACAAUAAAUAAAAAUGUGGAUUGGAUUAAUGACAUCUAUUAUAAUCAACAGAGAUUCGUGAAUGAUACUGGGGAUGCAGUAAAGGGAUUCUCUGACCAAUUAUCCGCCACCUCCCUCAUGACCUGGUAAAAUAGACUGACUCUCGAUAUGUUAAUUGGCAGAAAAGUGUAAAUAUAGAAUGAUUGGGGUUCAUUGCUGUACGUUUGAUUUUUAAUAACAUUGUCAUUGCUGUACGUUGAUUUUUUAAUAACACAGCUCCAGACGGAUCAGUGACCAGGGCCCUGGCUGGUUUAACCACAUUAGCUCACGAAUUAGCAGAGAACUCUCGGGUGGAUAAUGCUCUAACAAAUUGGUUUGACAGUGUGUUUGGGAAAUGGAAAAAUGUCAUAAUCACUGUGUUGUGGGCAACUUUCACCUGUAUGAGUGUUUUGGUUCUGUGUGGAUGUUGUUUGGUCUCGUGUAUGAGAGGUUUGAUAACCAGGACUCUGGAGAGAUCAAUGAUGCAACAGAUGGUGAGAUACGGACAGAUUCCGAGCUCUGGCCAGUGGGAUGACGAAUACAGGCCUACAGGCCUAGGAGAUGGCUCCGUUUCUUUUAACUACGAGGAGGCCAUGUUGGAUGAGACUGUUUUUGAUGUUUAAGAAUGUUUUUUUAAUGAAGAUUGUAAUAAAAAUCCUAACAGGAAGCGUUAUGAUUGGAUGUAGGCCUAUAACAGUCAUUGCUGAAUAUCGGCUGUACAUACAUGUAUUGGUUUGAAUUAUUCUUGGAUACCAUUUAUGUCUCUAUGUAGUAUUUGAGGAAUCAGUGUGUAUUAUUUAGUCAUUAAGGGUGGAUUGUUAAUGGGAUUUAUAUGUUUAAAUGAAUGAUUAGAAUAUUCCACCCUGAAACCAUAUGAUUGUAUGAAAUUUAUUAGAAUCAUGAGAUUAUUUUAAUGAUGUGUGUGGUUUUAGUCAGUAGAAUUAUAUAUCCGUGAGUGUAGUUUUAGGCAGAAUUAGGGUAUAACAAUAUAUCUGUACAAUAUGUCUACUUUAGUAUCUUAAAAACAGACUGUCUGAGCAAGAUUCGGUGCCGACCUUGGCUGGGGGCCACUGAGAGUACUUCCCAGGGUCUCCCUAUCUUGAGGGAGGACGGGGAGUGAUUCUCACGGCCUCCCCUAAUCUUUGUCGGCUGGGUAGCAGGACAGUAUGUGCAUAAGAUACCUACUGUUUGUGUGGAAGUAUGUGCACAGCUAUAAAAUGGAUGUCUUUGUAUUCUUGACUUUAGAACGUUAGCUGAAUAAACUGUA